AUUGAACGCUGGCGGCAGGCCUAACACAUGCAAGUCGAGCGAGCGGCGGACGGGUGAGUAAUGUCUGGGAAACUGCCUGAUGGAGGGGGAUAACUACUGGAAAAGGUAGCUAAUACCGCAUACCCUCAGAUGUGCCCAGAUGGGAUUAGCUAGUAGGUGGGGUAACGGCUCACCUAGUCGACGAUACCUAGCUGGUAUGAGGGGAUGACCAGCCACACUGGAACUGAGACACGGUCCAGACUCUGACGGGAGGCAGCAGGGGGGAUGAUGGCCAAAUGGGCGCAAGCCGGAUGCAGCCAUGCCGCGUGUGUGAAGAAGGCCUUCGGGUUGUAAAGCACUUUCAGCGGGGAGGCGUUACCCGCAGAAGAAGCACCGGCUAACUCCGGGCCAGCAGCCGCGGUAAUG
rnacentral:rRNA from 1 species